rnacentral:tRNA from 1 species
GGGGUGGUAGCUUAAUUGGUUAAAGCGUGGGUUUGCAAACAUUAAAACAUGAUACCAAAAUUGUAGGUUCGAGUCCUACUCACUCCA